AUACGGAGGAUCCGAGCGUUAUCCGGAUUUAUUGGGUUUAAAGAGAGCGUAGGUGGACAGUUAAGUCAGUUGUGAAAGUUUGCGGCUCAACCGUAAACUUGCAGUUGAUACUGGCUGUCUUGAGUACAGUCGAGGUGGGCGGAAUUCGUGGUGGAGCGGUGGAAUGGUUAGAUAUCACGAAGAACGCCGAUUUCGAAGGCAGCGCACUGGACUGCAACUGACACUGAUGCUCGAAAGUGUGGGUAUCAAACAGGAUUAGAUACCCUGGUAGUCCACACAGUAAACGAUGAAUACUCGCUGUUUGCGAUAUACAGUAAGCGGCCAAGCGAAAGCAUUAAGUAUUCCCCCUGGGGAGUACGCCGGCAACGGUGAAACUCAAAUGAAUUGACGGGG
rnacentral:rRNA from 1 species